rnacentral:rRNA from 1 species
CAGCAGCCGCGGGAAUACGAAGGGUGCAAGCGUUAAUCGGAAUUACUGGGCGUAAAGCGUGCGUAGGCGGUGAGUUAAGUCUGCUGUGAAAUCCCCGGGCUCAACCUGGGAAUGGCAGUGGAUACUGGCUCGCUAGAGUGUGUCAGAGGAUGGUGGAAUUCCCGGUGUAGCGGUGAAAUGCGUAGAGAUCGGGAGGAACAUCAGUGGCGAAGGCGGCCAUCUGGGACAACACCGACGCUGAGGCACGAAAGCGUGGGGAGCAAACAGGAUUAGAUACCCGCGUAGUCCCUGUCUCUUAUAC